AUUGAACGCUGGCGGCAUGCCUUACACAUGCAAGUCGAACGGCAGCACGGGAGCAAUCCUGGUGGCGAGUGGCGAACGGGUGAGUAAAGUAUCGGAACGUGCCCAGUCGUGGGGGAUAACGUAGCGAAAGUUACGCUAAUACCGCAUACGAUCUAUGGAUGAAAGCGGGGGAUCGCAAGACCUCGCGCGAUUGGAGCGGCCGAUAUCAGAUUAGGUAGUUGGUGGGGUAAAGGCUCACCAAGCCGGCGAUCUGUAGCUGGUCUGAGAGGACGACCAGCCACACUGGGACUGAGACACGGCCCAGACUCCUACGGGAGGCAGCAGUGGGGAAUUUUGGACAAUGGGCGAAAGCCUGAUCCAGCCAUGCCGGGUGCAGGAUGAAGGCCUUCGGGUUGUAAACUGCUUUUGUACGGAACGAAAAGGUUUGGCCUAAUAAGCUGAGCUCAUGACGGUACCGUAAGAAUAAGCACCGGCUAACUACGUGCCAGCCGCCGCGGUAA
rnacentral:rRNA from 1 species